CCUACGGGAGGCAGCAGUAAGGAAUAUUGGUCAAUGGACGAAAGUCUGAACCAGCCAUGCCGCGUGAAGGAUGACGGCCCUCUGGGUUGUAAACUUCUUUUAUAGGGGACGAAAAAAGGGUAUUCUUACUCACUUGACGGUACCCUAGGAAUAAGCACCGGCUAACUCCGUGCCAGCAGCCGCGGUAAUACGGAGGGUGCAAGCGUUAUCCGGAUUCACUGGGUUUAAAGGGUGCGUAGGUGGGUCUAUAAGUCAGUGGUGAAAUCUCCGAGCUUAACUCGGAAACUGCCAUUGAUACUAUAGGCCUUGAAUUAUCUGGAGGUAAGCGGAAUAUGUCAUGUAGCGGUGAAAUGCUUAGAUAUGACAUAGAACACCAAUUGCGAAGGCAGCUUACUACGGAUAUAUUGACACUGAGGCACGAAAGCGUGGGGAUCAAACAGGAUUAGAUACCCUGGUAGUCCACGCCCUAAACUAUGGAUACUCGACAUCAGCGAUACACUGUUGGUGUCUGAGCGAAAGCAUUAAGUAUCCACCUGGAAGUACGACCGCAAGUUGAACUUAAAUGAAUUGACGGCUGAGACGNGCGAGACGACGACGAGGAGAGG
rnacentral:rRNA from 1 species